AUCCAGCUGACGAGUCCCGAAUAGGACGAAACGCGCAUCCUGGAU
rfam:Schistosoma rodhaini strain Burundi genome assembly, scaffold: SROB_scaffold0002063